GCCAGCAGAGGGCGUGUGUCUUCCUGUUCAAUGGGCUCUUUGCUCAGGAGCCCCAGGCUGCUCAGACUCGAGGUGCAGCUCACCCAACAGGACCCUCAACCUGAACUGUCCUUCCUGAGCAACUGAGGCUUUGAUCCGAGUUGUGUAUGGAAUCUUCAGACUCAGCUUCUUGACAAGACCAGACCAGCUGCAACCUGGCCUUCAGCUCCUGUGUUCAGGAGAGAUGGGGAUUUGGGUAUGAUUUAUUUGACCGUCCAGUCCUGCCAACACUUUAAGAAGCCCUGGUGUCCUCAGAGCAAGGCCUACACUCUUCACAGGAAAAGGGGACAUACAGAAAUUUCCAAGGACAUAGUAAGAAUGGUCAGCUUCCACAGACCUGGAAUAUACUCCAAGGAAAACGGGGCAGAAUGCAGCUCAGCUGAAAUAAUAUCUGAGAUGAGUGACCUCAAAGACUUCUACAGUCUGUCAAAAGGAUCUUCUUUAUAAACCCUAAGCUGCCCUCAGGAGCCACAGAUUCAAGAGUCUGAAGCACUGUGUGAUGGCAGGAGGAUCCACCAGCCCUGGGUGGUGGAGGGCUAGAAGCACAUGACUAAGUUGGACAUCUGUGAAGGCUAUGGGAAAACUGAAACUGUACGUUGAUACUGAUUCACCAUCCAGUCUGAUGGCCUAACUCAUCAUCAAGAUCUCAGGGGACACAAUUGAGUCUGUACCAUUAGCCAUCAAAUGAGAUGCAUUGAGCCUGAGAUUCCAGAGGAACAGUGAGCCACUUCAAAGACAUGGUCACAGGGGCUGCUCUGUGUCACUUCCAAAAGAAUGAAACUGAAGCCAGGUUCUUUGGGGAAGCCAUUGUCACCUUCCAUUGCCCAGAUGUAGAUGAAAACUCCAAUAUCCUGCUUCCUGGGGAAG